UGAACAUCCUGUCAACUAUCUGUCAACCCUAAGAUAUCUCACUUGUAUUCUUCCACAAUAAAGCGUUCGUCGCUUGAAUUGAAUGAAAUAUUCAUGGACAGAGUACAGCCAACUUCGAUGUUGCUUCGUUGCUUGCUCAGCGACGACUAAACGAAAGAGCGUAACAAAUGCGUGUGAUGAGAGCUUCAACAAUUGUUGUAUGGCGUGCCGACCAUUGAAAACGUAGCAAUGCUUUGAUCGAUAUGAAACGAAAGCGAAAAAAUUGAACAAUUUUUCAAUCUCUUAUGUCCCGCUGAGACGGCACCUAUCGAAAUGAACGUAGCAAUCA